rnacentral:rRNA from 1 species
ACCUUUUGUAUAAUGGGUCAGCGACUUAUAUUCAGUAGCGAGGUUAACCGUAUAGGGGAGCCGUAGAGAAAUCGAGUCUUAAUAGGGCGUUUAGUUGCUGGGUAUAGACCCGAAACCAGGCGAUCUAUCCAUGAGCAGGUUGAAGGUUGGGUAACACUAACUGGAGGACCGAACCCACUGUCGUUGAAAAGCCAGGGGAUGACUUGUGGAUAGGGGUGAAAGGCUAAUCAAGCCUGGUGAUAGCUGGUUCUCCCCGAAAGCUAUUUAGGUAGCGCCUCGGACGAAUACCAUAGGGGGUAGAGCACUGUUUCGGCUAGGGGGUCAUCCCGACUUACCAAACCGAUGCAAACUCCGAAUACCUAUGAGUACUAUCCGGGAGACAGACUGCGGGUGCUAACGUCCGUAGUCAAGAGGAAAACAAUCCAGACCGCCAGCUAAGGCCCCAAAAUCAUAGUUAAGUGGGAAACGAUGUGGGAAGGCAUAGACAGCUAGGAGGUUGGCUUAGAAGCAGCCACCCUUUAAAGAAAGCGUAAUAGCUCACUAGUCGAGUCGGCCUGCGCGGAAGAUGUAACGGGGCUAAAACUAUGUGCCGAAGCUGCGGAUGUAUACUUUGUAUACGUGGUAGGGGAGCGUUCUGUAAGCCGAUGAAGGUGUGUUGAGAAGCAUGCUGGAGGUAUCAGAAGUGCGAAUGCUGACGUGAGUAACGACAAAACGGGUGAAAAACCCGUUCGCCGAAAGACCAAGGGUUCCAGUCCAACGUUAAUCGGGGCUGGGUGAGUCGACCCCUAAGGCGAGGCCGAAAGGCGUAGUCGAUGGGAAAAUGGUUAAUAUUCCAUUACUUCUGUGUAAUGCGAUGAGAGGACGGAGAAGGCUAAAUCAGCCUGGCGUUGGUUGUCCAGGUGAAAGGAUGUAGGCAUGUAUCUUAGGCAAAUCCGGGGUACUCUAUGCUGAGAUCUGAUAGCAAGCUGUACUUGUACAGCGAAGUGGUUGAUGCCAUGCUUCCAGGAAAAGUCUCUAAGCUUCAGUUACACAGGAAUCGUACCCGAAACCGACACAGGUGGUCAGGUCGAGUAGACCAAGGCGCUUGAGAGAACUCUGCUGAAGGAACUAGGCAAAAUGGUACCGUAACUUCGGGAGAAGGUACGCUGUUGUUGGUGAUGGAACUCGCUUCCUGAGCUGACGACAGCCGCAGAAACCAGGCCGCUGCAACUGUUUAUUAAAAACAUAGCACUCUGCAAACACGAAAGUGGACGUAUAGGGUGUGAUGCCUGCCCGGUGCUGGAAGGUUAAUUGAUGGGGUUAGCGUAAGCGAAGCUCUUGAUCGAAGCCCCAGUAAACGGCGGCCGUAACUAUAACGGUCCUAAGGUAGCGAAAUUCCUUGUCGGGUAAGUUCCGACCUGCACGAAUGGCAUAAUGAUGGCGGCGCUGUCUCCAGCAGAGGCUCAGUGAAAUCGAAAUCGCUGUGAAGAUGCAGUGUACCCGCGGCUAGACGGAAAGACCCCGUGAACCUUUACUGCAGCUUGACACUGAACUUUGACCUUACUUGUGUAGGAUAGGUGGGAGGCUUUGAAGCUGGAACGCUAGUUCCAGUGGAGCCGUCCUUGAAAUACCACCCUGGUAAUGUUGAGGUUCUAACUCUGUCCCGUGAUCCGGGACGAGGACCGUGUCUGGUGGGUAGUUUGACUGGGGCGGUCUCCUCCUAAAGAGUAACGGAGGAGUACGAAGGUGCGCUCAGCGUGGUCGGAAAUCACGCGUAGAGUAUAAAGGCAAAAGCGCGCUUAACUGCGAGACCCACAAGUCGAGCAGGUACGAAAGUAGGUCUUAGUGAUCCGGUGGUUCUGUAUGGAAGGGCCAUCGCUCAACGGAUAAAAGGUACUCUGGGGAUAACAGGCUGAUACCGCCCAAGAGUUCAUAUCGACGGCGGUGUUUGGCACCUCGAUGUCGGCUCAUCUCAUCCUGGGGCUGAAGCAGGUCCCAAGGGUAUGGCUGUUCGCCAUUUAAAGAGGUACGCGAGCUGGGUUUAGAACGUCGUGAGACAGUUCGGUCCCUAUCUACCGUGGGCGCUGGAAAUUUGAGAGGAUCUGCUCCUAGUACGAGAGGACCAGAGUGGACGAACCUCUGGUGUACCGGUUGUGACGCCAGUCGCAUCGCCGGGUAGCUAUGUUCGGAAGGGAUAACCGCUGAAAGCAUCUAAGCGGGAAGCCUACCUCAAGAUAAGAUUUCCCUAGGACUUUAUGUCCUCUAAAGAGCCGUUCGAGACUAGGACGUUGAUAGGUUGGAUGUGGAAGCAUAGUGAUAUGUGAAGCUGACCAAUACUAAUUGCUCGUGAGGCUUGACUAU